GGUUUCUAUGAUGACAUAGCUAUUUUACCUUGGGACACCUAUGAAAUGCCUUGAUUAGUGUAAACUUGAAUAACUGAUAAU